AACCCGUUACCGGGGAAACGGAUUGCGUUGGAUUGGUGGGCGGCCUGUGUGUUCAGCCUUCGGGUGCAUUGGCACAGGUGCUUAUCCGCUGUGAGUUUUCGGGGGUCGAUUUUGGACCCCUGGGGACUGAGGGCUCCCCUUUUGGGUGAGGACAGCGGAGUGACGACGCGAUACGACCCGUCUUGAAACACGGACCAAGGAGUCUAGCGCGGGUGCGAGUCGGAGGGUGCAAGCCCGUGGGCGAAGUGAAAGCGAGUGUAAAAACGAGCAGUUUGGGGCGGCAUAAGAUCGUUGAUCUUAAGACCGACCCCAGAGCAGUUGCGCUGGGACCCGAAAGAUGGUGAACUAUGCCGGAGUAGGGCAAAGCCAGAGGAAACUCUGGUGGAGGCUCGUAGCGGUGCUGACGUGCAAAUCGCUCGUCGAACUUGGGUAUAGGGGCGAAAGACUAAUCGAACCAUCUAGUAGCUGGUUCCCUCCGAAGUUUCUCUCAGGAUAGCGGGCCGACAAGUUGUUUUGUGCGGUAAAGCGAAUGAUUAGCGCACUCAGGGGCGUUUAGCCUUUGGGCGAUUCUCAAACUUUCAAUGCGCAAGGGUGCCGCUGCUUAAUUGAGCGGUACCGGUAAAAACGUCGGCCCUGUGGGCCACUUUUGGUAAGCAGAACUGGCGAUACGGGAUGAACCGUAAGCAAGGUUAAGGCGCCAAACUGCCCGCUUAUAGACCCCACAAAAGGUGUUGAUUCAUCGAGACAGCAGGACGGUGGCCAUGGAAGUCGGAAUCCGCUAAGGAGUGUGUAACAACUCACCUGCCGAAUGAAUUAGCCCUGAAAAUGGAUGGCGCUGAAGCGGGCGGCCGACACCUUGCCGUCUGGACAAGAAUUUCAGAUGAGUAGGAGGGCGUGGCGGCCGUGUCGAAGCGCGCGUGCAGACGCAUGUGGAACGGCCGCUAGUGCAGAUCUUGGUGGUAGUAGCAAGUAUUCAAGCGAGAUCCUUGAAGGGCGAAGUGGGGAAGGGUUUCACGCGAACAUUGAUUGGGCGUGAGUGAGUCGUUCCUAAGCCGAGUGGCAAUUGCUAAUUAACGGCGAAAGGGAAGCGGGUUUACAUUCCCGCACACGGAUGUGGAGGCGGCGACGCAUUAUUGGGGCGAACACGCUGGCGAUGGCGCUGGGCAGAGUUGUCUUUUCUGUUUGACCGCUUGCGCACGCAGUGUGGAAUCCUCUUGUAGGGAGAAACACGCGUGUACGGGCAGAGCGCUGGGGCUUUUCCAGCGUCCAGCUCGCCAUCGACGGCCCUUGAAACUUUGCCUGCUGAUAUAAGAUCCACGCCGUGGCGUACCGAUCACCGCAUCAGGUCCCCAAGGUGAACAGCCUCUGCUCAAUAUGAAAAAUGCAGGUAAGGGAAGUCGGCAAAUUAGACCCGUAACUUUGGGAAAAGGGUUGGCUCUAGUGCUGCGUGGGAGUGGUUGUCGGACGUUGGCGUUUUUAGCGUGGCGGCUCGGCGCGGGGCCCUUUUUGGGACCUGUUCCUGCUGCUACGCCGAUUGCGGCACGGCCGACGACGCCCACAGCAUGCAGCAGACUAGAACUGCAACGGGCAAAGGGAAUCCGACUGUUUAAUUAAAACAAAGC
rnacentral:rRNA from 1 species